CGUAGGGGGCAAGCGUUGUCCGGAAUCAUUGGGCGUAAAGCGCGUGUAGGCGGUUCAGUAAGUCUGCUGUGAAAGUCCAGGGCUCAACCCUGGGAUGCCGGUGGAUACUGCUGGACUAGAGUGCGGAAGAGGCGAGUGGAAUUCCCGGUGUAGCGGUGAAAUGCGCAGAUAUCGGGAGGAACACCAAUUGCGAAGGCAGCUCGCUGGGACGUUACUGACGCUGAGACGCGAAAGCGUGGGGAGCAAACAGGAUUAGAUACCCUGGUAGUCCACGCCGUAAACGAUGGGCACUAGGUGUGGGGGGUGUCGACUCCCUCCAUGCCGAAGCUAACGCAUUAAGUGCCCCGCCUGGGGAGUACGGCCGCAAGGCUA
rnacentral:rRNA from 1 species